rnacentral:rRNA from 1 species
AUACGUAGGGUGCGAGCGUUAAUCGGAAUUACUGGGCGUAAAGCGUGCGCAGGCGGUUAUGUAAGACAGAUGUGAAAUCCCCGGGCUCAACCUGGGAACUGCAUUUGUGACUGCAUAGCUAGAGUACGGCAGAGGGGGAUGGAAUUCCGCGUGUAGCAGUGAAAUGCGUAGAUAUGCGGAGGAACACCGAUGGCGAAGGCAAUCCCCUGGGCCUGCACUGACGCUCAUGCACGAAAGCGUGGGGAGCAAACAGGAUUAGAAACCCUAGUAGUCC